GACGAACGCUGGCGGCGUGCUUAACACAUGCAAGUCGAACGGAAAGGCCCUGCUUUUGUUGGGUGCUCGAGGGGCGAACGGGUGAGUAACACGUGAGUAACCUGCCUUUUACUUUGGGAUAACUUCAGGAAACUGGGGCUAAUACCGGAUAGGAGCUCCUGCUGCAUGGUGGGGGUUGGAAAGUUUCGGCGGUUGGGGUUGGAUUCGCGGCUUAUCAGCUUGCUGGUGGGGUAGUGGCUGGCGAAGGCUUGGACGGGUAGCCCGCCGGAGAGGGUGACCGGCCACAUUGGGAGUGGGAUACGGCCCAGACUGCUGCGGGAGGCAGCAGUGGGGAAUUUUGCACGAUGGGCGGAAGCCUGAUGCAGCAACGCCGCGUGCGGGAUGGCGGCCUUCGGGUUGUAAACCGCUUUCGCCUGUGACGAAGCGUGAGUGACGGUAAUGGGUAAAGAAGCACCGGCUAACUACGUG
rnacentral:rRNA from 1 species